UUAAUGCCAUCGAACCCAUUAAGCUUCACUGGGUGUCCUUGGAUGUAAUGGUAUUAAUAUGGCUUGGAUUUGUUGCUUACCGAAAUCAUAUACACCAGCAUAGCCGACCAAUGAGAGCACAAUAUAUGUUGAGUGGAAUCAAUGACCGAAUAAAUCUCUGAACGAUCAACAUGUGCAAUUAUAGCUCUAUAGGAUCUCAACAUGUUGGAUAACAAAGGUCGUAAUCAUUCAGAGUGGCAGAUAAGGAAGGAGUAUAAUAUCUCAUCUAAAGAUCAUGUGUUAUGAAUCAUUAUAGAUUAAUACAUUCUACUCUAUAUAAACCAGACCAAGAGACCUCUCAAAUAUAAGAACCUUUUUUUUCUUACUCUUACGCCUGAUAUAAGCAUCGAAUGAUCUCCAGCCCAACAUAUUUUGACGGGCUCUAAAUGCCUUUUUUUUGUUGCAGGUCGGCUUUCGCACCAUGCAACCUAGCUCCAGCUAAGCCGCCUCCAUCUACCAUAUCAUCUUAUUUUGUUAGGUCAGAUUUUGAAUGACAACAAAGAUCACGCCACCAGCUACACCAUUUGCGUUGGAAUAAAAGUUGACAGCCAUGUCUUUGUAUUCUCCAUAGACUCUAUGAAAUGAGAGGUGGGGGUUCCCCUGUUGUGUUGCUAAGACAAAAGGAAGAUGAGAGGCAGCACAACAUGCUAUGUCAAGUCCAAGUUGGUAUCUUGUGAGUGAAGCACAAGGCGCUGUGUUAGGUCCCUUUAUGGGCUCUCUUUUGUAAUUCCAUUUCCCAUUAUCAAAACACACAGAGAGAGAAGGC
rnacentral:lncRNA from 1 species